UUGUUUGUUUGUAACAGCAGCCCGUGCAGACGCAGCCAGUGAGCCAUUAGAGGGUCUCACCCCUCAGCGAGCACUUUCCGGUGCAAGCAUACCAGAGCAGACCCCACCGCCACCGCCACCAUCACCAGCAGCAGAAGCUACUCAGCCCAGCUUAGCUCGAGCCACCCCUAGCUUGAUCAGCCUCCGUUCAUCUGUCCUAAACCUGCAACAAGACAUCUGUCGGAUAAUCACCAAAGCUUGUGCUGUGAAAAGAAUUAUUCUGGAAACCUCAAAGGUUAUUGAGCAAAUUCCGCAGUCAGGAGACGGAGCACAGCUCUACUGCAUGCAGGCUGGAGAACUUGUGAGAUCCUGCCAGAUCCAGCUGGAUCAACUGUUCCGGCCGCCUGCAUUGCGUCGUACAGCAAGUGAACAGAGACAUCCUUGCUUGAUCAGCCUCCGUUCAUCUGUCCUGAACCUGCAACAAGACAUCCGUCGGAUAAUCAUCAAAGCUCGUGCUGUGAAAAGAAUUAUUCUGGAAACCUCAACGGUUAUUGAGCAAAUUCCGUCGUCAGGAGACGGAGCACAGCUCUACUGCAUGCAGGCUGGAGAACUUGUGAGAUCCUGCCAGAUCCAGCUCGAACUGCUGUUCCAGUCAUCAACACUCCACUCAGUGUAAUCAAGUAAAAUUGUGACCUCUGUAAACAUGGGUAGCCAGCAAAUGAGAAAUGCAUUAGAUGAAAUGUUGAAAGCUGUAAACGAAUUACAAAAUAUUCCUGUUAAUGAUACGUCAGGAGUUCUGAAUCUACCUAAUGCUUCACCCUCUCGGUUAGAACAAGCCCUGCAACAAUUAAACGUUUCAUUCUCUCAACCCUCCUCCCCGGAAAAUGAUUCAUUACACUUUGACAUGCAAGUUACAGAUGUUUUAAAUCAAAUAAUGCAAAUGGUUAACGACCUUCAAAAUAUUCCAGUUCGGGAUACGUCUGAGGGUGCUGAUUUACAUGAAGGUAAUGGUUCACCGGAUAGACAACAGG